UUAAUACCCGAUAGCAUAAUGAUUCCGCAUGGUUUCAUUAUUAAAGGAUUCCGGUAAAGGAUGGGGAUGCGUUCCAUUAGGUUGUUGGUGAGGUAACGGCCCACCAAGCCUUCGAUGGAUAGGGGUUCUGAGAGGAAGGUCCCCCACAUUGGAACUGAGACACGGUCCAAACUCCUACGGGAGGCAGCAGUGAGGAAUAUUGGUCAAUGGGCGCUAGCCUGAACCAGCCAAGUAGCGUGAAGGAUGAAGGCUCUAUGGGUCGUAAACUUCUUUUAUAUAAGAAUAAAGUGCAGUAUGUAUACUGUUUUGUAUGUAUUAUAUGAAUAAGGAUCGGCUAACUCCGUGCCAGCAGCCGCGGUAAUACGGAGGAUCCGAGCGUUAUCCGGAUUUAUUGGGUUUAAAGGGAGCGUAGGUGGACUGGUAAGUCAGUUGUGAAAGUUUGCGGCUCAACCGUAAAAUUGCAGUUGAUACUGUCAGUCUUGAGUACAGUAGAGGUGGGCGGAAUUCGUGGUGUAGCGGUGAAAUGCUUAGAUAUCACGAAGAACUCCGAUUGCGAAGGCAGCUCACUGGACUGCAACUGACACUGAUGCUCGAAAGUGUGGGUAUCAAACAGGAUUAGAUACC
rnacentral:rRNA from 1 species